GACGAACGCUGGCGGCGUGCCUAAUACAUGCAAGUAGAACGCUGAAGGAGGAGCUUGCUUCGCUGGAUGAGUUGCGAACGGGUGAGUAACGCGUAGGUAACCUGCCUGGUAGCGGGGGAUAACUAUUGGAAACGAUAGCUAAUACCGCAUAAGAGUAGAUGUUGCAUUACAUUUGCUUAAAAGGUGCAAUUGCAUCACUACCAGAUGGACCUGCGUUGUAUUAGCUAGUUGGUGAGGUAACGGCUCACCAAGGCAACGAUACAUAGCCGACCUGAGAGGGGGAUCGGCCACACUGGGACUGAGACACGGCCCAGACUCCUACGGGAGGCAGCAGUAGGGAAGCUUCGGCAAUGGACGGAAGUCUGACCGAGCAACGCCGCGUGAGUGAAGAAGGUUUUCGGAUCGUAAAGCUAUGUUGUAAGAGAAGAACGAGGGUGAGAGUGGAAAGUUCACACUGUGACGGUAUCUGAACAGAAAGGGACGGCUAACUACGUG
rnacentral:rRNA from 1 species